rnacentral:rRNA from 1 species
CCUACGGGAGGCAGCAGUGGGGAAUCUUGCGCAAUGGGCGAAAGCCUGACGCAGCAACGCCGCGUGCGGGAAGAAGGCUUUCGGGCUGUAAACCGCUUUCAGCAGGAACGAAAAUGACGGUACCUGCAGAAGAAGGAGCGGCCAACUAUGUGCCAGCAGCCGCGGUGAUACAUAGGCUUCAAGCGUUGUCCGGAUUUAUUGGGCGUAAAGAGUUCGUAGGCGGUCGAGUAAGUCGGGUGUGAAAAUUCUGGGCUCAACCCAGAGACGCCACCCGAUACUGCUUAACUUGAGUUCGAUAGGGGAGUGGGGAAUUCCUAGUGUAGCGGUGAAAUGCGCAGAUAUUAGGAGGAACACCGGUGGCGAAGGCGCCACUCUGGAUCGAUACUGACGCUGAGGAACGAAAGCAUGGGUAGCAAACAGGAUUAGAUACCCUGGUAGUCCAUGCCGUAAACGGUGGGCACUAGGUGUGGGAUUCUAUUAACGAAUUCCGCGCCGUCGCUAACGCAUUAAGUGCCCCGCCUGGGGAGUACGGUCGCAAGACUAAAACUUAAAGGAAUUGAACGG